GGCUUUCCUUCGCUCUCUUUUCUACUCAUCCCUGCUCUUCGUCCCACCUCCUCCUCCUCCACCCCUCUCCUCUUGCCUUUCGACCCUCCCCACUUCCCCUCCCCCACUCUGCGGGCAAAUCGCUGCUGAAAAGAGUAAUCUAUGCCAGCAAUUAUGACAAUGUUAGCAGACCAUGCAGCUCGUCAGCUGCUUGAUUUCAGCCAAAAACUGGAUAUCAACUUAUUAGAUAAUGUGGUGAAUUGCUUAUACCAUGGAGAAGGAGCCCAGCAAAGAAUGGCUCAAGAAGUACUGACACAUUUAAAGGAGCAUCCUGAUGCU
rnacentral:lncRNA from 1 species